rnacentral:rRNA from 1 species
CUACGGGUUGCUGCAGCUGAGGAAAUUUUACAAUGCUCGAAAGAGUGAUAAAAUAAGCCAGAGUGUUUUUCUUAGAAAAACUUUUAUCUGCUGUAAAAAGGCAGAUGAAUAAGGACUGGGCAAGACCGGUGCCAGCCGCCGCGGUAAUACCGGCGGUCCAAGUCGCAUCACAUUUAUUGGGUCUAAAACAUUCGUAGCUUGUUUUGUAAGUCUCUUGUGAAAUCCCAUAUCUCAAAUAUGGGGCGUGCAAGAGAUACUGCAUUACUAGAGACCGGAAGACGCAAAGAGUACAAUUAAGGUAGCGGUAAAAUGUGUUAAUCUUAAUUGGACUAACAAUGGCGAAGGCACUUUGCGAGUACGGAUCUGACAGUGAGGGAUGAAGGCUAGGGGCGCAAAAGGGAUUAGAUACCCCGGUAGUC